CGCUAGAAUUGUCCUCGGAGGGGAGUGCACUGGACACUUUCCCGCAUAAUCCCCAUCUGUGAACCCAUGGCGGAAUCCCCAGGGCACUCUACCCUGGAGGAGAGUCUGGGGCAAUACCAACCGAGUCUCCAGGAUGAGACUUAGCAGAACACAUCCAAGGGCCCUGUUCUCCUUCAGUCACCCUGAGUCAGACCAUGUGAACAAUGAAGGCUGUGACAAUGAAAAUUUUUAUUGUAGAACUUGCCAGUAGAAGCAUUCGCCAACCAAAAUAUAUGCUGAAAGGUGAUGUCACCAUGGCCGAAGAUGCCCCGGAUUGUGCCAGCACCCACGUAGAAAAUGAGGACAGCGAGAUUCCUUGGCAGCCUGACCAAACCAAUAAUGAGCUCAGUGUUCUGUCUCACCACCAAAUAAGUAGGGAAAAUGAGAAAUCUCCACCACAAAGAAGAAAACUGUCCCCUUUAAGUUCAUCAGAAUGUGAGAAAACUAAUAUGCCUACUGUGCACAACCUCGUUCCUAUCAUUAAUGACCAGUCCCAGUAUAUUCAUCACUUAGAAGCAGAAGUCAAGUUCUGCAAGGAGGAACUAUCUGGAAUGAAACAUAGGGUACAAGUCGUCGUACUUGAAAAUGAAAGACUCCAGCAAGAGCUGAAAUCUCAAAAACAGGAGGAGACCCUGAGGGAGCAAACACUUCUAGAUGUGUCUGGAAACAUGCAACAUUCUUGGGUAAAGACAGGCGAAGAUUCCAGGGUGGAUGAAGCUGCCAGGAGACCAUUUUCUCAUGGCGAUGCAGAUACUGGCAAAGCCACGUCUACUGGUGAAGCUGAAAAAUGGAAGCUAGAACUGGAGAGGCUGAAACUUACAUAUGAGGCAAAGAGUGAAAUUCUGGAAUCUCAAGUAUUGUACCUGAGGAAAGACUUGGCUGAAUAUCAGAAGAACUGUGACGAUCUUAAAGAACGCCUGAAGCAUAAAGAGUCUCUUCUUGCUGCCAAUCUUUCCAACCGUGUGGGUGGCCUUUGUUUGAAGUGUGCUCAGCAUGAAGCUGUGCUUUCCCAGACCCACAGUAAUGUGCAUGUCCAGACCAUUGAAACACUGACCAAAGAGAGAGAUGACUUAAUGUCUGCGCUGGUUUCUGUGCGGAGCAACUUGGCAGAUGUGCAGCAAAGAGAAACAAGUGCCUACGAGCAGGUGAAGCAAGCUGUGCAAAUGACGGAAGAGGCCAAUUUUGAGAAGACCAAGGCUUUAAUCCAGUGUGAGCAGUUAAAGAACGAACUGGAGAGGCAGACAGAACGACUGGAGAAAGAACUUGUAUCUCAGCAAGAAAAGAGAGCUUUUGAUAAAGAGAUGAUAAAGAAAGAAAUAACCAAAGAACGGGAAGAUGCUGAGUCCAAGAUGCUGGUCCUCUCUCAGAAUAUUGCUCAACUAGAGGCGGAGGUAGAAAAGGUUACAAGGGAGAAGAUUUCCGCUGUUAGUCAACUAGAAGAAAUUCAAAACCAGCUUGCUUCUCAGGAAGUAGAUGUCUCAAAGGUGUGUGGAGAAAUGCGCUUCCAGUUGAAUAAAAUCAAAAUGGAGAAGGAUGAGGCUGAAAAGGAGCACAGAGAAUACAGAGCAAAGUCGCAGAGGGAUCUUGAAAUUAAAGAUCAGGAAAUAGAGAAGUUGCGACUAGAGCUGGGCGAAAGCAAGCAGCAUGUGGAGCAGGAGCAGCAGAAGGCGGCGCGGGCCAGAGAGGAGUGCCUGCAAGUCACAGAGCUGCUGGGAGCGUCCGAGCGCCAACUGCACCUCACCAGGCUGGAAAAAGAUAGCAUUCAGCAGAGCUUCAGCAAGGAAGCAAAGGCCCAAGCCCUUCAGGCCCAGCAGAGAGAGCAGGAGCUGACACAGAAGAUACGGCAAAUGGAGGCCCAGCACGACAAAACUGAAAAUGAACAAUAUUCCUUGCUGACCUCCCAGAAUACAUUUUUGACAAAGUUAAAGGAAGAGUGCUGUAUGUUAGCCAAUAAACUAGAACAAAUCUCACAAAAAAGCAGAUCUGAAAUAGUUCAGCUCAAUCAAGAAAAAAGAUAUAUAUGUAACAAGCUGGAAAAGUUACAGAGGAGAAAUAAUGAGUUGGAGGAGCAGUGUGUCCAGCAUGGGAGGGUGCAUGAGACCAUGAAGGCAAGGCUCAGGCAGCUGGACAAGCACAGCCAGGCCACAGGCCGGCAGCUGGUGCAGCUGCUCAACAAGCAGAACCAGCUUCUCCUGGAGAGACAGAGCCUGUCGGAAGAACUAGACCGGCUGCGAGCCCAGAUAGGGAAACUGAGGCUCAGACAAGCAUAUUCAGCUAGCAAAUAGGGACACAGCAAAUGGAACCUAAGUCUGACUCCAGAGCCCAAGCUGUCCCCAUUCAGGUUAAAUAAUGUCGGACAGAGUCCAGUUACCCAGCAUGCCACAAUCUGAUUGCUGACCUGGAUGAAACAGAGUGAAAUAAAUGAUUUACAAAGAGAUAUUUACAUUCAUCUGAUUUGUACUUAAUAUUCCACAAUGCACCGCAACUUUCCCAGGGUGACACCACCUGGGACUGCAGGGGGGCUGGUCCUCAUGCCAUGAUUUUGUCCCUGCUCUAUGGAUGGGCGAGUGCUGCAGCCUGGUCGGGGAUAGCUCCUGGAGUGUGUGCUCAGAAUGGCUUCAAGUCACUGUUUUUAAAUAUCCUUGCUUGUAUGCUAGAGUAUACACAGGGAUUUUAAUAAAUGACCUUUCUAAAGA